rnacentral:lncRNA from 1 species
ACAGAAGGCAGCAGAGCUUGCGCAACUCGAGGUGAGGCUCGCGGAGGUCCUGGACAACGAGCAGCGCCUUCAUGUGACGAUCACUGAGAUGCGGUCCCAGUACGACACAUUGCUCUCUGAUAAGGAGAUGCUCCAUGAGUCUUGCCAAAAGCUACAGCUUGUCCAAGCGGAGCUGGAGCAGGCGUCGGCGCAGAAGGCAGCGGAACUUGUGCAACGCGACGCGAAGCUUGGAGAGGCCGCUGAUGGCGAGCAGCGCUACAUCUCAACAAUCGCAGAACUGCGACACCAGUGCAAUGCAUUGCUCUCGGAUAACGGUGCUUUGCAGGAAUCCCGGCGGCAGCUUGAACUGGAGAUGCGACGCACGGAGGAGAAGGUUGCAGCCGUGCAGGUGAGAGCCCAGCUGGGACCGUUUUGUAACUCCAAACUGGCAUGGCCGUCCAUCACCUGCCAAAGUGCCAAGGUCAGCAACGACAUUUCUGCAACUCUGCGCCCACUGCAAAUCCAUGGGUCGCUCAUGAGGUGUCAGUCCUACUCACUGAUGUUCUGUAGGGUACGGAGCAACAGGCUCAGCAGGCAACGCUUGCGCUUAUUGAAGAGAAGCGUCUCCUCGAGUCCAUGCUGAAAGCGGCGCAGGAGGCGCUGGUCUCUGCCAAGGCGGAGCUGGCCAACAGUGAGGCUGCACUGCUGCAGUCCCAAGGUAUGCCCAUUGAUUGCCUCAUGUCAAGUACUCUCUGGCAUCCGUUAGGCCUUCAGAAUCUCUUUGCUGUGCUGGAAUCCACGCUCGGGUUGCCUUCUCGCAAUCCGUGUACUCGUCCUCAAAGCUUCUUCGCUUUAAGGUCUUUGCCCUUUUCAUAACUCCC